CUCAUGAAUAUACGUUUAAAAUAAAUAAACACUAACAGUACACGCUGACAGUUGAUUACGAUACAUCUAACAAUUUGAGUCAUUACAGUUAAACAUGGAUUAUAAGUGAAAUAUACGCGUAAGAGAAGAUUUUCUCUCGAAAAAACGAACUGUCAACAAUCGGCAUGGAACUUGGAUAUUCGUAUCAAAGGGCUCUGAAUGCAGGAAAAUGACUGAAUAUUACUUAGUCAACAAGACUGGGUUAUGAAGAAUUCCAGCCUGCAUUAAAUACUAUGUUGGAUCCUUGAGAGCGGAUUUGACAGCCAUGUCCAUCCACAAGGCAGUCGCAUCUGAUCGAGAUGAUCAUUAAACAUUCUUGAUGGGUAAAGUACCUGAAGGUGCAUGAAAACCAAAUCAGCAUUGACUCAGCAUUGAGUAGUUAUCAUCUGUGCACACACUACAAGUACAAAGCAUGGGA